ACACUAGACUAGUCAAUGUCAAUAUGAUUAAUGCUGACGAUUGGUUUUUAACGGUACAAAUUCAGGACGAUAAAUUAAAUAACAUUGUAAAUCAAUUAUCAAGUGGAAACGCGUGUAGUGAUAUUUUAAACAAUUACGUCAUUAAGAACAACAGACUUUACCGAAAGACUUUGCUUGGUGAAAAAUUAGUGGUACCAUCUUUUGCUAGGUGGAAGUUAAUGCAAAAGUUUCAUGAUCAGAUCGGCCAUAUCGGACUUAGACGCUGUAAUGAGGAUGGCCGACUGUAACGAGCAAGGAGCGGGGAGAGAGAGGGCAGUGCAUAGUAGGGAGGCGAGGCGAGGAGAGGAGAGGAGGGGAGAGGAGUGGGUUAUGCAUAAAAGCGGUUGUCGGACCGCGCGAGCGCAUUAUUACGUGUAUUUUUGAAGUGAAUUACUUGCAAUUUAUAAUCUUGUAAAUAGUGAAAUUAAAUUCUUGGUGAUUAAUACAA